ACUUGUAACAACCUUGUUGAUAAUAUCAGACUUGUUGCAAGGUUGUUCCAACAAGUCCGCUACAUAUAACGAUAUCGUUACAACCUUGUGUCAUCAACCCUGUAAAAUUCUUGUUAUAUCAUGGCUGUAUCAGACUUGUUAGAACAGUCUUGUAACAAGUCUGAUAAUGCCAUCAAACUUGUUACAAGU